ensembl:lncRNA
UUCCACUAAGGGACGUGACCUGUUCACUGUUCCUUCCUCCAAGAGAGAUGACCUUUUCAAAUCUCCUAUCACCAGCGAAGAUGACUUAUUCCGAGCCCCAUUGUCCAAUCAAAUGGACCUCUUCCACUCCACUCCUUCUGAAACAUCCAAACUAUUUCAAGCUAUGCCCUCUAGGUUAUUUGACCCCGUCCAAAGUCCCUCUUCUGUAGUGAUUUCUGACAUCUUUCAACCACCAUCCAAGAUGCAAGAAAUGUUCCAGUCCUCACCUAAUGACAUUUUUCAGAGUGCCUUUUUCCUUACUGACUCCAAUCAGUCCACGCCUUUAUUCCCGGCGUUACCAGGGCAGGGCGCGGACAUCUUCUCUGGGUCUGAUUUUGAAAAGACUGCUGAACUUUUCAAUGCAUCGCUCUCAAACACUAAGGUUUCCAACCUGGCCACACCCUCUGAUAAACAGUACAACAUAUUCCUGACAAGUCCCAGUGGAAGCAAAUUUGACAUUCUUCAGUCCACCCCAAAUUCCCAGCAAAAUGGUUCGCUCAAGGCAACAUCCCCAUCCCACAAAGAGACUCCUAAUGAUUCAGUCCAGCUGAAGACCCCAAACAGACCACCAAAACCCGCUCCUCGAAAAAGACUUCCCAAGUUACCAAGUCAGACAGAGGCUGAGCAACCGGCUCCAAAACCUGCAC